UAUAUUCCCUAGCCUGUGGGGAUUCAGCCUAUACGUGCUGGUGGUACCUACAGCUGGCCCAUGUUACUUCCUGGUCCUGAUGGCCUUGUGGUCCUACAUUAACACUCAUUCUGGGAUUCAAUUAGUGUGCAAAGGUCUCUCCUGGUGAUAGUUGCCCGGUGCUGGCUGGAGGGGUCGGCGCCUCUCCUUUGCUAUGAUGGACAAAUGACAGAAAACACAGUAGAUGAUAUUGCACGGUGUAUUGUGAGAACAGUAUGGAAGCGGAAAAGAAACAUAAGGAAAAAGAAAUAACGUUUUAAUGUGGCACAGGAAAAUACGGGAAAAUAAAGUAGAAUGCCUACUUCAUUACUUUAGAAGCUACACACAAAAGUACAUAAGAUUCUAUGGACCGAGAAAAGGACUAAUAUUAGAGAAGUACUGGGAGUAGGUACAAUCCACAUAUACUAAAAAUGUAUAUGCAAACAUGACAUAUAACAACUCCUUCACCUGUCUAGGACAAAUUAAAAUUAUGGUAUACAACCAUC